rnacentral:rRNA from 1 species
UACGUAGGGGGCGAGCGUUGUCCGGAAUCAUUGGGCGUAAAGCGCGUGUAGGCGGCUUGGUAAGUCCGGUGUGAAACCUUGGGGCUCAACCCCAAGCCUGCACUGGAUACUGCCUCGCUUGAGUCCGGGAGGGGAGAGCGGAAUUCCUAGUGUAGCGGUGAAAUGCGCAGAUAUUAGGAGGAACACCGGUGGCGAAGGCGGAUCUCUGGGCCUUACCUGACGCUCAGGUGCGAAAGCUAGGGGAGCGAACAGG